rnacentral:rRNA from 1 species
UACGUAGGGUGCAAGCGUUGUCCGGAAUUAUUGGGCGUAAAGAGCUCGUAGGCGGUUUGUCGCGUCUGCUGUGAAAAUCCAGGGCUUAACCCUGGACCUGCAGUGGGUACGGGCAGACUGGAGUGCGGUAGGGGAGAUCGGAAUUCCUGGUGUAGCGGUGAAAUGCGCAGAUAUCAGGAGGAACACCGGUGGCGAAGGCGGUGAUCUGGGCCGACACUGACGCUGUAGAGCGAAAGCGUGGGGAGCGAACAGG